rfam:Caenorhabditis brenneri strain PB2801 C_brenneri-6.0.1_Cont705.2, whole genome shotgun sequence.
GGCUCGGUGGCCUAGUGGUUAACGCAACGGUCCUCCGAAAAGUUGGUCGCGGGUUCAACCCCCGUCUAGGCCA